GAAGAGCUUGAUGAGCUAAAAAGAAAUAUUUUAAGUGAAAAAAAGGAAAGGCGCAAAGAAACUAUUAAAAAGUUAAUCGCAGAUGCAUCAACUGGGCAAGAGGUCGGUUCCCUCUUAACAGCUAUAAUAGAAAGUAUGAGCCAAGAUUUAUCGAUGGAAUAUAAAAAAUCAGUUUACUUGUUUUUAAUACUUUACUUUAAGCAAAAUUCUUCUUCUAUUUUAAAUGCGAUGGAAUUGUUUUUAAGAGAUUCUAAAGA